rnacentral:tRNA from 1 species
GAGGAUGUAGCUCAGGGGUAGAAUGCUUGCUUGGCAUGUGUGAGGCCCUGGGUUCGAAGCCCAGCACCCCCU